UACGGGGGGAGCAAGCGUUGUUCGGAUUUACUGGGCGUAAAGGGCGCGUAGGCGGUCGUGACAAGUCACUUGUGAAAUCUCCGGGCUUAACUCGGAACGGUCAAGUGAUACUGUCGGACUAGAGUACAGAAGGGGCAACUGGAAUUCUCGGUGUAGCGGUGAAAUGCGUAGAUAUCGAGAGGAACACCUGCGGCGAAGGCGGGUUGCUGGGCCGACACUGACGCUGAUGCGCGAAAGCCAGGGGAGCGAACAGG
rnacentral:rRNA from 1 species